AUCCAUCUGACGAGUUUCAGAUGGGACGAAACGCGCGUCCUUGAU
rnacentral:hammerhead_ribozyme from 1 species